ACUUUCUGUUAAUAUUAUAGAUUUUAUGUUGCAAAAGUGAAGGAAAGUCUGAAAUAAUUAACUUAAUAAUUUGUGUGAUGGUUCAUAGGGGAAGCUGCGGGAAUAAUCUAGUCUUCAUCCCCGCUUGAUUCAGUUCGUGCCAUUAGUGAAAGACGUGACGAAUUCAAGUUGAGGUGUUGCGUGCUGUCUGCAAGCAAGCAAUCCAAUCGUCUGUCGCUAGGUGGCUAAAAUGAUGUCCACCAGGUAGCGCCAUGUUGUUUCAAAUUUUAACAGACGCAGCCGAAAUGAGUGUUGAAUGUUGAAUGAUUAUCGUGACGUUUCCCAUGCUGAAAAAGUGAAAAUGAAAAGGUGAUUUAGCAUGUAAGCAUUUAAUGGGAAAAUUUUCUCGUAUCUUAAGUGCCUGUACAUUUCGAAAAAAUGUCGUGCCUCGAGCGUCUUGCUGCCUGUAGAUUUCCGUAAUUUAUACUUCAGAGCAAUUAAUGUGGGAGAUCCAUUUGCUUGUCUAUCAAAUAAUUUGAGAUCACAACAAAGUCUGAGCUUCAUUGCUGUCAUGCAGAUGGUUUCGUUUCAG